rnacentral:rRNA from 1 species
GCUUACGGCCACACCUCCCUGAGCACGCCCGAUCUCGUCUGAUCUCGGAAGCUAAGCAGGGUCGGCCCGUUAGUACUUGGAUGGGAGACCGCCUGGGAAUACCAGGUGCUGUAAGCC